AGGAGGGAGAGAGAAUCUCAAGAAGACUGCACUCAGCUUGGAGCCAGAUAUUGACAGAUUGAUCCCAGGACUCCAAGAUCACGACCCAAGCCAAAACCAAGAGAAGUCCAUUUGGCGCUGCAGCAUUCGCUUCAAGUUCACACCAAAACGUAGAAGAAACUAAAGAGAGGGACGAAGAACUCCUUCAUGGCCAUCUCCAAGUCCCCUAGGACCCCUGGGCUCCCCACGGUCUUGGGACUGAGCCCAAUAUUGCGCUCCAGGUGCAGUAAGGAAUCUGAUUAGGAUUCUGUGUCUCCCUCUCCCUGUCCCCACCUCC